GACGAAGGGGGCUAGCGUUGUUCGGAAUUACUGGGCGUAAAGCGAGUGUAGGUGGUUGUCCAAGUUGGAUGUGAAAGCCUUGAGCUCAACUCAAGAAAUGCAUUCAGGACUGGGCGACUAGAGGACCGGAGAGGAUAGUGGAAUUCCCAGUGUAGUGGUGAAAUACGUAGAGAUUGGGAAGAACACCAGUGGCGAAGGCGGCUAUCUGGACGGUUUCUGACACUAAGACUCGAAAGCGUGGGGAUCAAACAGG
rnacentral:rRNA from 1 species